CCCUUAGAUGUCCUGGGCUGCACGCGCGCUACACUGAUGUGUCCAGUAAGCACCUAACCUCUUCCGAAAGGAACGGGUAACCUUUGCAAAGCACAUCGUGAUGGGGAUAGAUUAUUGCAAUUAUUAGUCUUGAACGAGGAAUUCCUAGUAAGCACAAGUCAUCAGCUUGUGUUGAUUACGUCCCUGCCCUUUGUACACACCGCCCGUCGCUCCUACCGAUUGAAUGUUCCGGUGAGCUCUUCGGACUGCGCGGUCUGCAGUUUCUGCGUUCCGUGCGGAAAGUUGCACAAACCUUAACAUUUAGAGGAAGGAGAAGUCGUAACA
rnacentral:rRNA from 1 species